rnacentral:rRNA from 1 species
GACGAACGCUGGCGGCGUGCCUAAUACAUGCAAGUUGAGCGAUGAAGAUUGGUGCUUGCACCAAUUUGAAGAGCAGCGAACGGGUGAGUAACGCGUGGGGAAUCUGCCUUUGAGCGGGGGACAACAUUUGGAAACGAAUGCUAAUACCGCAUAACAACUUUAAACAUAAGUUUUAAGUUUGAAAGAUGCAAUUGCAUCACUCAAAGAUGAUCCCGCGUUGUAUUAGCUAGUUGGUGAGGUAAAGGCUCACCAAGGCGAUGAUACAUAGCCGACCUGAGAGGGGGGUCGGCCACAUUGGGACUGAGACACGGCCCAAACUCCUACGGGAGGCAGCAGUAGGGAAUCUUCGGCAAUGGACGAAAGUCUGACCGAGCAACGCCGCGGGAGUGAAGAAGGUUUUCGGAUCGUAAAACUCGGUUGGUAGAGAAGAACGUUGGUGAGAGUGGAAAGCUCAUCAAGUGACGGUAACUACCCAGAAAGGGACGGCUAACUACGUG